rnacentral:rRNA from 1 species
UACGUAGGGGGCAAGCGUUGUCCGGAUUUAUUGGGCGUAAAGAGCGUGUAGGCGGCCAAGUAGGUCGGGUGUGAAAACUGGAGGCUUAACCUCCAGACGUCGACCGAAACCAUCUGGCUAGAGUCCGGAAGAGGAGAGUGGAAUUCCCGGUGUAGCGGUGAAAUGCGCAGAUAUCAGGAAGAACACCCGUGGCGAAGGCGGCUCUCUGGGACGGUACUGACGCUGAGACGCGAAAGCGUGGGGAGCGAACAGG